rnacentral:lncRNA from 1 species
UAGAGCCUCUGUACUUAGCCUCCAGCAGAGUAAGUGGGGAAACAUGCCAUUCCUCCUGUGGCAAAUGAAGCUUCCAGGUACUGGACCCGAAAUCAGAAAGAUUCCUAAAGCUGCAAGAGCAUCUGGCACCUCUGAUUCCCACAUGGAGAGGUUGAAUAGCCCCAAAAUGUGCCACUGUCUUUCAGAGAAGACACGGACACAAGGAAUCCUAUAGCCAGACCAGGUUUGUUCUUCCAUGAGAGCAGGAACACACCUUUCUAUGGAGGGCACCUGACUCAGUGCUCAUCACAGAGUAUGUACCCAGCAAAUAUGUAUGAAAGAACAAAUGAACUCAGGAGAGAAAGAACUUCUAAUGCAAGCAGAAUAUCUUUGGUUACCAAUGACUAAGAACUGUGCAAUAGAAAAUACUAGCCCUGAAGUUAAGAAGAUGGCCCACUCAAAAGAUCUGAUCACACCAAACACCCAAAAGAGGAUGCAGGUUGGUUGAGCAAAGAUUUAGGGUUGGUACGAAUUUUCUAGUUCUAUCAGAACCUAUCUCUAACUUUUAGCGUUUGUUCUAGUACAACACAUUGAAUACUACCCUCUUUAUGGAGAAUGGGCUCAGCAAGUUUUAACAAAUCCUUUUGUCAUUUUCAAAAAUACCUGAUUUCAAACACAUCCUUAGUGUUAUGAUAAAAUGUCUUAUAAUGAGAAAGACCUCAUCUAAUUAUCAUAGUUAAGAUUCCUAUAUGUGGGAAAACCACAAAAGCAUCCGUUUAAAGAAAGGUAUGUGAGUAUACUGGCUGUUACAGUUAUUCUCAUUCAAAACCAUCCUCAGGGGUUUCUAAGUCUUGACAGGACAGUUUUGUUUUCCAAGUAGACGGUGCUUAGAAAAACUAUGCAUGAGGUAAAAUUGUAUGGAACUAUUUACCCCCAAAAUGCACUACUGAUAUAACUAUUCUUGCAUUGUUUUUGAACUAUUUUCCCUAUUUUUGAGCUAUUUUCACAACUUCUUAUGCAUCCAAAAUUUUUUCCAAAUAAAAACUUUUUAGAAAUACACCUUUGUGGUGAAACAAUUAUCCUAUGUGUACAGAUUAGGUAACUAGAGAAGUUAUCCGGUUUCCUCAAGGUCAUCAUGCUGGAACAGGGCAGAAGAGGGGCUGAAAUCCAGACCUGCUCACUGUCUCCCAAGAUCAUGCUUUUCCCAUUUUAGCACACAACUUCCUUAAAUCAGCUGAGUGUCCUCUAAGUAUUUAAUCAAAUACUCAUUGGACGCUUUCAAAAGCUUUAACCUUUUUCAUGUUUUCUGUCAAAUGGAAUAUGUCCCUUUACCAAUACCAAUACCACACACACACAUACACACACAUUCUCUCUAAUACACAUGUGUACACACACAUAUAUACACUCCCAAACACGUGUGCACAUACACGUGUUGGCACACACACACCUACUUUCAUCUCCACCUUCACUGCCACCACUUCAUGUAACCAGUGUCUAUGAAUGACUUAAAAGGAGAGAUCUAGAACCAGAGGAAGUCAAAGUUGGCAAUAAGAACUCUUUGGUGUGAUUUUGGUUGAACAACCACACUCGCAGCUAUGGUCGUGGCAAGAUUUACAUAUUUGGAACUGAAAUUGG